GUGGUACUAGAGUUAGUCUGUUAGUUGACAGGGGGUAGUCCAGACUAGGAUGUGGUACUAGAGUUAGUCUGUUAGUUGACAGGGGGUAGUCCAGACUAGGAUGUGGUACUAGAGUUAGUCUGUUAGUUGACAGGGUGUAGUCCAGACUAGGAUGUGGUACUAGAGUUAGUCUGUUAGUUGACAGGGGGUAGUCCAGACUAGGAUGUGGUACUAGAGUUAGUCUAUUAGUUGACAGGGGGUAGUCCAGACUAGGAUGUGGUACUAGAGUUAGUCUGUUAGUUGACAGGGGGUAGUCCAGACUAGGAUGUGGUACUAGAGUUAGUCUGUUAGUUGACAGGGUGUAGUCCAGACUAGGAUGUGGUACUAGAGUUAGUCUG
ensembl:lncRNA